AUGAAUUCGUUACUCUAUAUAUAUAUAUAUAUAUAUAUAUUAUUUUUUUGUUGAAUGAAUUCGUUAAUAUUUGUCAACAAUGCAAAGCUGCCUGGGAAUAUUUUACACGUCAGCGUUAAAUUAUAGAGUAAUUUCAAAAUAAUUCCAUUAUUUCAAUCUCAUACUGGCAGAGACCCUGGUGAAGAAACAGAGAUCGUCGGCCAUGUUUGAAAGCUCAAAAAGUAAUCAAAAUAAACCUGAAAUUAAGGAUCUGCAUAUAGGAAGAUGAAGCACACGAUGUCUUCGAUGGCCGGAGAGGUGAUCGUAAAGCCGACGUUACACGACGGUGCUUUGUGGCUCCAUGGGCUUCUGGUGGUGCGCCUGCGUCUUCGAGUUUUGGUCCUGUUAUGAACCGCCAGUACGGUGCGUUCGGUGCUGUGACGCUUGACUAAGGGAUGCUCAUGAUAUGUCUCAGAAGCCAAUCCAACUCCAGCCCUGAGGGAUUGGUGAGUUCCGUUGAAAUGGUAAAAUUUGUAGCAAUCAAUGCCAGGCCAACCGUACUAGUUUAUUUGCCUUUCACUUCCUCAAGCAAUGUCGAGGGCAUCAAUUGGCAGGGCCCUAAACUUACUAUUGUAGAAUACUACAUGAUGCUUGCAGAUCCUUCCUUUUUAUAUAAGCUUCUCUUAGAGCAGGCUACUACAAUUGGUUGCUCAGUGUGGUGGGAGUUUAAGAACAGGAAGUGUAGAUAUGUCUUCCUUUUAUGACAAGGGAUUGAAAUUGUCUGGUUUUUGCAUUGAAAUGCUGAAGUAAUUGAUGGUUCCUUUACUAUCGGAUAAACCAAGCAUGGGAUCUGGCACUUGUUCAUGUGCUCAUUGUUGCAGCAUGCGAUGCUAUUGUUGUUUGGUCGCCUGCUCCUUGUCGUUCACAUGGUAACAUGUUCCGGUUUGAUUUGCAAAAUACAUUGCAGAAGCUCCCAAACAACAUAUUUGAAAGAAGUUAUUCACUAAGGGAAUUUGAUUUACAAAAGAGAUUACACUCUUUCUUCUAUAAGACUGCCGAGUUGUGUAUGGCUGGGCUAACUGCUGGAGCAGUGCAAGGUUCUUUAUCAAAUUAUCUAGCCAGUAAGGAGGGAAAAUAUAAAGCAAAAGAAAACCCACUUAAACUGUUUCUUUUGUAAAACUAAAUAGUACUGAUUAGAGUUUAUCAAUAAGAAUGAAGAAACCAUUGUGACUUCUCUCUGAAAGUUUAACUAUCGAAGAAUUUACCCUGCAAGCUUGAGAAGCAUUGGUUUAUGUACUUUAAGAAAAAAAUUAUUGAAGAACUAUUCUAUGAUGGAUGAUAAUUGAAUAACUUUUUUGUUGUGCUGUGAGUAUAAUGUUUAUAUGUAAUGUUUACAUAUUUCAAAUAUAACAUUCUCUGGGGAAUGUCAUGAAUUUGGAAUAGAUUUAGGGGUUUAAGAAGAGUUGUUAUUUGAAAAAAACGUGUUGCCCUUGAUUGUUGUUUUUAGCGAAAUAUUCGGCUUACCUACCAUAAUAAAUUAAAUUGGUCAAACUAAUUUUGUUCUCUGCAAUUGUUAACUUGUUUGGCAGGUUAUCUGUGUCGAUAACAAGCACAAGCACUAAUGCACUUGGUUAUGGUGGCUUUCCUAGGACUUUAUGCUAACGUGAGAUAUCAGCUCUUAUGUGGAUAUGACAGGGCAAUAUCAAAUCACGUUGAUGUCAUUAGAGGGUCGCUGUUUUUCAGCAUAGCAGUGAAGGUUUUCUCUAUGAAACACUUAUUGGCUGCUUAUAUUUGCUACAUAUGUGAGACAUUUAAAUUGGUUUCCCUCAUUUUUUGGUGUGACUCUGCUAGGGGCUUUUAUUUAUUUAUUUUUUUUUUUUCCACCUUCGUAAUCUUUACUUUUUGGUCUUCUAAAGAUAUGUUGUUCUUAUGGUUUCAUAUGAAUGAUUAUGUAUUAGUUGUCUUAAUUUUUCCUUGUCUCAUAUUGAGUAUCUUCACUAUCAAUAUGCUUGCCACUGGGAUUUUUCCUUUUCUUUCUCUUUUUUCUUUUUUAAAUAAAUUUGAAAAGUAGGUGGGAUAGUUAUGAUUUUACCUGAGGGAACCCAUUCGCUUUCUAAAAAGGAUUACUAAUCCUUAACUUUUCAAGGAAUCCUUCAUCAGUGGUCAGUGCACUACUGGAUUGAUCUGGUUUCCAUAGCUAGCACUAUUGGAAGGGGUAUGCCAAUUUGGUAAUUUCAUUUUUGUUUAUUUAUUUAUUUGUAUAUCUGUUUAGUUUUUUAACUUUUCUUGUUAAAACUCAUUGAGCAAUUUACGUUUGGUUAGAGGGAGGUGGUAUUAUUUUUUAAUUUUUUUUUUUGGUUUUGUUUCAUAUACGGCUGCGUCUGAAUUUGACUUGGGGAGUAUUUGGCUCUUGGUUUAGUGGAGUAUACGUCUUAAAAGGGUCGUAUUCUUUUUAAUUAUUUUAAAUUGUACGAUAUGUUAGAAUCACCAGUACUAGAUAGUACUUCGUUUUAUAUUUUAAUUGUGUAAUUAUAAUAUAUUGCUUCAGAUGUAAGAUGUAUUUAAAAAUUGUUACUUUAAAAGAAAUAAAAAUGUAUGCAGGGAAUCAUAAACAAUGUUUAGAUUUGUUGAUGACGAACGAGCUUUUCGCAAUUUUAUUCGUUUUGAUUGGUUUACUUCAAUUGAUGUAUCAAGGAAAAUGUCCCUCACCAUCUGAAACACAUUAUGAAAAUUAUGGUUUUGUUUCUUUAUUUUUCUGUAUCAAUAUUGCAUCAAAGAUAUAUUUACAACUACCUCAUCCUCAUAACCCAAAUCAAGCUAGGAUUACUCCUAAAAUUAAGCUAUUUUCUAGAUCUUUUGACUGCUUGAAUAUGCUCAUACUCAUCCUCCUUUCUCCUCUUGGGUGGUUCAUUUUUGCCUUGUGUGUUGCUUACUUUGUGAAGGUCAUUUCCGAGUUCAUUUAUCGUACACUUAAAAUAAUUGCCAUCACACGGUGUUAUUUAGGUUCUCCAAAUAUGAAGCGCAGAAUAGACAACCAUCAACCCAGUUUGAAUGGAGAACACAAUAGGCCUCCUGUCUAGUGUGAACUUGCUGUUAUAUUAGCCGACCUGCAAUCAAGAACACUUGCCAAGAAGUUUGAUGAAAUAAUAGAACUUCUAUAACUAGAGCUUUUAAGAGAAUUGACCUGUACAAGGUGCAUGGUGCUCUGAAGGGAAAGGCUGGUUCACGAAUCCUUGCUCACAAUUAGGGUGAUAUCAGUAUCAUGAAGCAAACAAGUUUGAAGAGUCUAUUACUAACCUCUUUGGUGAAGAUGCAAAUGAAGAUGCUUGACUUUCAUGUUAGAACUUCUAAGACUAGGUGUUGCAUCUGACUCGUUGAGACUGCCAUAAAUUCAUAUACAUUUUUAAAGUGCGAUUUUUGGGAGUUGCUCUCACAGCAGGUGCUUCAACGAAUGUGUAUAACGGGCAGAGUGGAAUGUAGGAAUUUGUGAAUAGAAAUUAUAAAUAUUAUUUAUUUAUUUGGUUGCCACUACAACAGGACAGUUGCUUUUGGGAAAAUGAGACAUUCUUGUGUUAUAAGUGUUGAAAAAUGUAAAGCGAGAGAAUGCAA